AAUUAAUUUAGCACCAGCAUCUACUGUUCAAAAGUAGUAUUUUUAUUAAUAC
rnacentral:tRNA from 1 species